GCGCUGGUGGUGCAGUGGUUAGAGUGUUGGACUGGGGCCCAAGGAAAGACCAGGGUUCGAAUCCCGCCUCAGUUGCC